rnacentral:lncRNA from 1 species
UUGGUAGAAUUCAGCUGUGAAUCCAUCCAGUCCUGGACUUUUCUUUCUGGGAGACUUUUUAUUAUCACUUCAAACUUGCUACUAGUUAUUGUUUUGUUCCAGUUUUCUAUUCCUUCCUGACUCAAUCUUGAGUUGGCUGAGAAGGAGGGUGCCGAAGAAGGGGUUGAAGAAGGUGCUGAAGAAGGAGAGUGAGCAGCCAACCAUGUGGAUUUGAUGGAUGUCUCCCAGAUAUGUUCUUAUUUGCCAGCCAAAGACGGAGGAGAGGCCUGUCUACUUUAUUCAAGCAAACUUAAACAACCUGCAUGUUGUCAUGAGCUGGAUACCCACACUGCAUUCCUUAGUAGGCUCCCGACGAAUACCAAUUUUCUAGCUAACUGCUUUCCUUGCCUUCCCAUCCUAAGCCCAAACAUCACUUGCUAGAUUUCAGUGAGAUAGAGCAUCUCCGUAAGGAAACUUAGAUAAGCCACGUCUGACAAAAUCCUUAAGGAUUUCCCUUAUUCCUUAUGGAUUAAGAAAUCCUUAACCCAUAAGGAAUAAGGGAACUCCACAAGGAAACUUUUGUAAGAGAUUUCAUGAGAAAUGCCAGGCCUGCCUUUGGGUCAAUGCACACUCACUCCCAUCUCCUACAACCUGUGGCUGCAGUACUCACUACCGGCCAGUUGCAAUCCAAGAUCGGAAUGUUGAGUCUGACAUGCUGCGACGUUUAUAACCAUCCAAGAAGAAAAAUAAAAUAAACCAAAAAACAGCUUUGUGGCCGGGCGCAGUGGCGCAAGC